UACGGGGGGGGCAAGCGUUGUUCGGAAUUACUGGGCGUAAAGGGCUCGUAGGUGGCCAACUAAGUCAGACGUGAAAUCCCUCGGCUUAACCGGGGAACUGCGUCUGAUACUGGAUGGCUUGAGUUCGGGAGAGGGAUGCGGAAUUCCAGGUGUAGCGGUGAAAUGCGUAGAUAUCAGGAGGAAUACCGGUGGCGAAAGCGACUCUCUGGACGGCAACUGACGCUGAGGCACGAAAGCGUGGGGAGCAAACAGG
rnacentral:rRNA from 1 species